AGAACGAACGCUGGCGGCAUGCCUAAUACAUGCAAGUCGAACGAACACUUCGGUGUUAGUGGCGCACGGGUGCGUAACGCGUGGGAAUCUGCCCUUGGGUUCGGAAUAACAGUUGGAAACGACUGCUAAUACCGGAUGAUAUCGAAAGAUCAAAGAUUUAUCGCCCAGGGAUGAGCCCGCGUAGGAUUAGCUAGUUGGUGGAGGUAAAGGCUCACCGAAGGCGACGAUCCUUAGCUGGUCUGAGAGGAUGAUCAGCCACACUGGGACUGAGACACGGCCCAGACUCCGUACGGGAGGCAGCGAGUA
rnacentral:rRNA from 1 species